rnacentral:rRNA from 1 species
GGGGAAUAUUGGACAAUGGGCGAAAGCCUGAUCCAGCCAUGCCGCGUGUGUGAAGAAGGUCUUCGGAUUGUAAAGCACUUUAAGUUGGGAGGAAGGGCAGUAAGUUAAUACCUUGCUGUUUUGACGUUACCAACAGAAUAAGCACCGGCUAACUUCGUGCCAGCAGCCGCGGUAAUACGAAGGGUGCAAGCGUUAAUCGGAAUUACUGGGCGUAAAGCGCGCGUAGGUGGUUCAGCAAGUUGGAUGUGAAAUCCCCGGGCUCAACCUGGGAACUGCAUCCAAAACUACUGAGCUAGAGUCUUGUAGAGGGGGGUAGAAUUCCAGGUGUAGCGGUGAAAUGCGUAGAGAUCUGGAGGAAUACCGGUGGCGAAGGCGGCCCCCUGGACAAAUACUGACGCUCAUGCACGAAAGCGUGGGGAUCAAACA